AAUGGGCGAAAGCCUGAUCCAGCCACGCCGCGUGCGUGAUGAAGGCCUUCGGGUCGUAAAGCGCUGUGGGGAGGAAAGAACAAGCUUCGGUCAAAUAGGCCGAGGCCCUGACGGUACCUCCUUAGCAAGCACCGGCUAACUCCGUGCCUGCAGCCGCGGUAAUACGGAGGGUGCAAACGUUGCUCGGAAUCAUUGGGCGUAAAGCGCGUGUAGGCGGCAUGGGCAGUCGGGUGUGAAAGGCCUGGGCUUAACCCAGGAAGUGCAUCCGAUACUGCCACGCUUGAGUACAGGAGAGGGUAGCGGAAUUCCCGGUGUAGAGGUGAAAUUCGUAGAUAUCGGGAGGAACACCAGUGGCGAAGGCGGCUACCUGGACUGAUACUGACGCUGAGACGCGAAAGCGUGGGGAGCAAA
rnacentral:rRNA from 1 species